rfam:Thermophagus xiamenensis strain DSM 19012 genome assembly, contig: Ga0131197_105
GGGGGUGUAGCUCAGAUGGCUAGAGCGCAUGACUGGCAGUCAUGAGGUCAGGGGUUCGAUUCCCCUCAUCUCCA